GACGUAGGGGGCCAGCGUUGUUCGGAAUUACUGGGUGUAAAGGGUUCGUAGGCGGUGCGGCAAGUCGGGAGUGAAAUCUCUGGGCUCAACCCAGAGACUGCUUCCGAAACUGCUGUGCUUGAGUGUGGGAGAGGCGCGUGGAAUUGCAGGUGUAGCGGUGAAAUGCGUAGAUAUCUGCAGGAACACCCGUGGCGAAAGCGGCGCGCUGGACCACUACUGACGCUGAAGAACGAAAGCUAGGGGAGCAAACAGG
rnacentral:rRNA from 1 species